CUUAAUUGUAUAAUUCGGUUUUUGGUUUGGAUUGGAUCCAAUUAGGGUCAAUCCGAUCCAAUCCGAAAAUCCGAAUUUCCAUAAAAUCUCAAUCCGAUCCGAUCCGAUUUAAAGUUUGGAUCCGAUCCGAAUUGAUAACUCGGUUUGAAUUGAAUUGGAUUUCGAUUUUUAUCCGAAUUAUGGGCACCCCUACUUCAACUCUCCCCAACCACACACCUCAAAGCUCUUGUUUUUUUUUUGUUUAUUAUUUUUAAUGAUACAAUGUCCAUAAACGGGGUAAAACUGAGUGAAAUAGUUAGCCCAUUUAAUGGAUCAACACAUGAAUUUGUAUCUACACCUUGUAAAAAAAAAAAAAAAACCUAGUUGACGGCGAGAUUAUAAUGGCUUGGAUGGAAGAUGGGCCACCACAGAUUCAGGAGAUCCUUGGGUAUGUCACUCUAAAGGUUUGAAACAGGUCUUUGAUGUUAAGCCAUCAACUAGCUGCUAUAAGUCGAAGCGGUCGAGCUGUGGCAGAGAAACUGGCUGAUGGGAUUAGGGGGUCAUCUGACUCGGAGGUUCAAACCAGCGACAAUGAUGAUGCUGAGUAAUAACUUUUUACAAUAGGUGAAUUAACUUAAGAUGUACUAAUUUUGUUGUUACUAUUAUUAUGUACUAGUUAUUUUCAUACUUGGUUAAUGGUUUAAAUGUUUUCUAUUUUUUAAAAGGAGUAAUUAUUUGAUGGGUGAAUUUUAUUUUGAUGUUUGAAAUUAUUUCUGAUGUUGUCUGUAUUGUUAUGGAUUUAUGUGUCUGAUGCAAUGACAUUGUAAUGUCAAAACAUUGUUUACAACUUUAUUUAUUUAUUUUUUAUUAAUGAGAUUUGAACCACGAAUCAAUUUAACCAAUGCCAAGAAGCACGCACAAGGAAAUCUUUGACUUGUGAAUAUCAGUAAACAAAACAAGUAUGUAGGACAAAAAUUGGCCAUCACCCUAAUGCAAGGUGUAAGAGGUAUCUUCUGCUUUAUGUCAGUAACUUUUGGCACUUUCCUUGUGAUGAACCACUUAAGUAUCCAUCCAUAGCUUUGAAGGACCAAAUCAUGCUCCUAUUUCCAAAUCCUCCUAUUUCAUAUCUAAAAAACCUUGAUCUUUACUCCCAAAAAUAAAAUAAAAAAAUAAAAACCAAAAACUUACACCAACACAUCUAAUACCAAUUUUAAUAUGAUGAAUGGAUGUGCUUCGCAACAAGUGAUUGACGUGGCAAACAUCGAUCCAUAUGAACUAAGAAACGAAAACAUCCAACUAAUGUUAGGAUGUGGAAUCGAAAAAAUCCGGGUGGUGAAAAUACAACACCCAACUAGGAUGGUGAAGGUGGAUGUUGUGUCGUUUUUACCGUGUAACAGGCAAGCAGGGCAUUACAGAGUAACGGUGAAUAGGACACCGGGUCAUGUAAAUGAUCUCUGGGCCAGGUUUGAACUAGGAUUAAAACUGUUUUUUGGAACGCGAUUGAUAUUCACAAACCAUCCUUAACACACAUUUUUAACCAAAUUCAUCAUCGGUUCUCACCUUUUGUAGUAAUAGUAACAGAGGCUAGAGCGCAAAUUGGAAAUCUAUCAACCUUUAGGUUGGGUUUAAGUGGAGAAUACACCUUGUUUGCAAUUUCCAACGAGGGGUUGGGUGGUGUUGCAAUGUUUUGGAGUAAAGUAGCAUCUCCACGUUUUUACCAGAAAUCAGGCACAUUAGUUGGCCACAGUCUAGGGGUGGAUUUAGCGCCUUCUCUAUCAACAAGCGACCACCUACCGUGCCUAACCAAUUAUGACGAGGAGCUCACAACAGCAAGCGAAGAUGGCCCGUAACAACAACCAUUACAAAGUAGAAGGCCGGUUGAAUAUAAAUUAAAGUGUUGGAUCUUCAUUUGUAAUAAACGAACUGUCGUUCUGUUUAAUUACUAUUAAAAAAAAAUUGUGUUCUGAGUAGUUAUUUAUUUGUAUUUGUGGAGAGGACAGAGUGUACGUCGUUUAGUGGUUAUUUAAUUUAGUAAACGAUGUUAUUAUAUUAAAUUUGCAUGAUUUUCGUUGUCCAAAUUG